GGUUACAACCCUGUAUAUCUUA
rnacentral:tRNA from 1 species